rnacentral:rRNA from 1 species
AUACGGAGGGUGCAAGCGUUAAUCGGAAUUACUGGGCGUAAAGCGUACGUAGGCGGUUUGUUAAGUCAGAUGUGAAAGCCCCGGGCUCAACCUGGGAACUGCAUUUGAAACUGGCAGGCUAGAGUAUGGUAGAGGGGGGUAGAAUUUCUGGUGUAGCGGUGAAAUGCGUAGAUAUCAGAAGGAAUACCGAUGGCGAAGGCAGCCCCCUGGACCAAUACUGACGCUGAGGUACGAAAGCGUGGGGAGCAAACAGGAUUAGAAACCCCGGUAGUCC